rnacentral:other from 2 species
GUUGACCUUACAGCAAAUCUUACAAUUUCAUCCUAAGAAAAAAUACAGUCAACUG